rnacentral:rRNA from 1 species
UACGGGGGGGGCAAGCGUUGUUGCGGAAUUACUGGGCGUAAAGGGCUCGUAGGCGGCCAACUAAGUCGGAUGUGAAAUCCCCAGGCUCAACUUGGGAACUGCAUCCGAUACUGGAUGGCUUGAAUUCGGGAGAGGGAUGCAGAAUUCCAGGUGUAGCGGUGAAAUGCGUAGAGAUUUGGAGGAACACCAGUGGCGAAGGCGACUUUCUGGUCUGUAACUGACGCUGAGGCGCGAAAAGCUAGGGGAGCGAACAGG